AGUCCUAAAAGCUUUCCAGAUAAGUUGGACUUGACUGACAGAGGCUGCCUGCAUCAUUUGGCAACCACACUUUUGAUUGCCACUUAUUUGGGGUUCUCUGCAGAAGAGAUAUCUAUCUUUGGAUGACUCUCUGUCGGGCACUCCUAGAACCUAAUGCAGAGCAGGACUACGGUGAUUCUGGGACUUCUGUUUGGCCUCGCAUACGGUGAUCUCAGCAGUCUUGAAGAAGGUUUAAAAGUGUGUUCCGAGAAGUGUGUUCCCGAGGAGACCAGAGUAGAAUUUGUAACAACAAAUCAACUGAGGCAUUUUUCAGUUCUUCCUCUGUUGAAAGCAUGCUUCUGAACAAAAUGAAUAAAACCUGUGCUACCCCACUGGUCAUGUUUGAAUCUACCAGCUGUGGACUGCUGUGGUCCCCCGAUGAUGGACAGAGUGUAAGGAAGACGUGGCAUUGGAACAAACUACCUUUGCAUUUCCACUAUGUAUGCAGAUCGUGCAUUUGAUGUCCUUCUCAGCACCCUUCUUUGGAUGGGUGUUGUCCCCUCCUCUUCGAGGAAAAAUUGAAUUUGUAUCCAUGUGUGUGUGAUAUAAAAGGCUCUGUCUUUCCUGUCAUCCCUUUAUAACAUAACGGGAUGCUUCUCUAAAAAUUUGAAAGUAGAAAGAGGAGUCAUAAGAAUCCUACAUGGAAGAAACUAAGUUUAAAAUAAUAUCAUACACCUGAAAUUUAAGACAAUGCUUGAUAAUAGCUUAGUUAACUAUGCUUUAACUAAAGAUUAAAAUUUUGUGUGAAUAAAUACAAUAAUUGCCAUAAAACAUGAAGUUUUAGAAACAACGUAAAGACCAGGGAUAGUUUUCAGGAAAAACAGAAAGCACCUGAAUUAGAUUCAAGUUUCAGAUCUAAAAAUCAUUGAUCUUUCAGUUUCAGUGCAGGAUGUUUCAGCUAUCUUUUGAAAACAUUCCCAAAUCUGAAGAGAGCAAUUGAAAUUUCUCUCCAGAAUGUUUUUUGAGACAUAAUUAUUUUUACCUAAUGUGGUUUUUUAUGUUUCAGAUUUGCUAAAUUUCAUCAAUUACAUCCACUUUUCAUCUUUUACUGGCUACAUGUUGUCAAUCUAGAAAACAUCUUGGUUUAAAUGUUGUCACAGAUCUUACUCUGUAAGAUAUUGAGUUAAUAGGGGCUGGGGAUUUAGCUUAGCGGCAUAAGUGCCUGCCUUGCAAGCAGGCGGUCGUGAGUUUGAUCCCUGGUACCGACAAAAAUGAAAAAAAAAAAAAAAAAAAAAAAAGAUAUUGACUUAGUUUUACAAAACCUGAAAAUGUAAACAGUUUUUUUUUUCUAAUGCCAUACCUAGAAUAGGGUACAUGUUUAAAGAAAUGUACAUGUGUGUGAAAAGAAAGAUUUAGAAACGCAGUUUGAAUCAGAGCUGUAAUAAAAGUUCACAUAUGUGUGCUAUUUAAA